GAUGAACGCUGGCGGCGUGCCUAAUACAUGCAAGUCGAGCGAACAGAUGAGGAGCUUGCUCCUCUGACGUUGGCGGCGGACGGGUGAGUAACACGUGGAUAACCUACCUAUAAGACUGGGAUAACUUCGGGAAACCGGAGCUAAUACCGGAUAAUAUAUUGAACCGCAUGGUUCAAUAGUGAAAGACGGUUUUGCUGUCACUUAUAGAUGGAUCCGCGCCGCAUUAGCUAGUUGGUAAGGUAACGGCUUACCAAGGCAACGAUGCGUAGCCGACCUGAGAGGGUGAUCGGCCACACUGGAACUGAGACACGGUCCAGACUCCUACGGGAGGCAGCAGUAGGGAAUCUUCCGCAAUGGGCGAAAGCCUGACGGAGCAACGCCGCGUGAGUGAUGAAGGUCUUCGGAUCGUAAAACGCUGUUAUUAGGGAAGAACAAAUGUGUAAGUAACUAUGCACGUCUUGACGGGACCUAAUCAGAAAGCCACGGCUAACUACGU
rnacentral:rRNA from 1 species